AAACCUUUUUUAUGCAGUUGCAAUCAGCGUCAGUACAAACAAUGUAAAUCAUUUACAACUUUCAACAACGGAUCUCUUGGUUCUGGCAUCGAUGAAGAACGCAGCGAAAUGCGAUACGUAGUGUGAAUUGCAGAAUUCAGUGAAUCAUCGAAUCUUUGAACGCACAUUGCGCCCUUUGGUAUUCCAAAGGGCAUGCCUGUUCGAGCGUCAUUU
rnacentral:rRNA from 6 species